CCAGCCACUCCCGUGCCAGCCGGGUCAGUGUGUGGGGAGGGAGCGUGUUUGACAGGUCAUACUGAGGAGUCGUCAUCUUGAGAGGGGAGGACAACGGCUGAGGGCACUCUGGCCGACACAUGGACGUUGCUAAUAAUUGAAUGACAAUUCAGCCCAGUGGAUCUUUAUAUUCUACAGAUUCUGAAUAGUCAUGUAACAAUUGGAAGUGUUUUUGUUGCCAUGUAGGCCUAGUAUUUAGUCUUUGUUGGGGUUAAUCAAGGGGACUGUAAUUCCUUAGGUGGUGGUAGCUGAAGAUGUGUUAGCUCCCAGGUGAUGAGGCAAUGAGUGAGAGACUCUGGACACAGACAUGUACACUGUGUUCAACACAAAGUGUCAAUAAAAUAGAUACUUGUAGUA